AGAGUUUGAUCCUGGCUCAGGACGAACGCUGGCGGCGUGCUUAACACAUGCAAGUCGAACGGUGGAGAGGAGCUUGCUCCUUGGAUCAGUGGUGAACGGGUGAGUAACACGUGAGCAAUCUGCCCUUGACUCUGGGAUAACUGCGGGAAACUGUAGCUAAUACCGGAUAUUACCUUGGAAGGCAUCUUCUGGGGUGGAAAGAAUUUUGGUCAAGGAUGAGCUCGCGGCCUAUCAGCUAGUUGGUGAGGUAAAAGCUCACCAAGCCGACGAUCUGUAGCUGGUUUGAGAGAACGACCAGCCACACUGGGACUGAGACACGGCCCAGACUCCUACGGGAGGCAGCAGUGGGGAAUUUUGGACAAUGGGCGAAAGCCUGAUCCAGCAAUGCCGCGUGUGGGAAGAAGGCCUUCGGAUUGUAAACCACUUUUGUACGGAACGAAACGGUUCGCUUUAAUACAGUGGGCUAAUGACGGUACCGUAAGAAUAAGCACCGGCUAACUACGUGCCAGCAGCCGCGGUAAUACGUAGGGUGCGAGCGUUAAUCGGAAUUACUGGGGCGUAAAGCGUGCGCAGGCGGUUAUUAUAAAACAGUUNGUGAAAAUNCCCGGGCUCAACCUGGGAAUUUGGAUCUUGUGAACUGUAUAGCUAGAAGUA
rnacentral:rRNA from 1 species